CUGGCAGGGCAAGAGAGCAGUUUCCCUUUGGUGACUAUGUGGUGAAGGCAGAAAUACCCAGCUUGCUUUUUCUGCUAUUUGUGGCAACUUGGUUUUCCUGUCAGAAGUUAGCCUUGAAAGCCCCCCUCUGUCCGGUUGGGCAUUAGAGUGUGGUGGUACCCUCCAGCUCACCUAUUCGGGCAGGGUCGUCAUAGCUGAUCACUCCCAGAAAAAGAGUGGGAUCGUGUGACAUAUAGGUCUGAGUGACUCUUCAAAGGCAACCUUUCUACACGGGACACUGGAUUGUUCUCUGCUGCUUCUCUUCUCUAGAUUUGGGCUUCUGAAUGAAAUUCCAGCUGGAUUCAUCUGUGUGUAAUUGUGGGCAGGACUGAAGCCUCUGGACUGGUCUUCAUGCAGGUCAGAUUGUGAGAGACCUGAUGGCAUCCCCUCUGCCUCAAAGAACACAUCCAGCCAAUUCAGUGCAAUCUGGAUGAGUAUCACAGUGUGGAUGUACAUCGUGAUAUACAUCUGGAUCUCUACAGCUUUAUCCUAUGAACACCGAAGCCUUUUUCCACAGACAGCUCUUCCUUGCUGGAUCAGGGCAUUGUGUCCAAAACUGAGGCUCACCAACCAUCAAUACAUAUUUUAGCUGGCACACUAAUGUACUUGGAAACUGCACUUGCUAUUAUGUGCAGAGUUUUGGAAAUUCUGAACAUGUUUGUAUUUUGGGAGUAAGAGAUAUCAGGACAAUACAUAUGAAAUGUACUCAGUUAUGUUAUUUGCGAGGAACAGAGCUCAUAGAAAUAAGUAUUUUAAUGUAAUAUGUUUUUUUUAAACCCACAAAUGUAGCUUGACAUGCAAGCACA